GGCGCUGGGCCGCUGGGGCAGGAGGGCGCGGGCGGAGGGUCAGGCUUCCCUGGCCCCCGCAGCCUCCGGGCCUCGCUCAGCGACUGGGUGUCGUGGUGACCCCCCGCGAGCGAAGUCGGGCCUGCGGGGCCGUGACCUGUGCCCGCGGGGUGCCAGCCCUCGUCCUGCCGGCCGCCGCGGCGGUGACCGCUCGGGUCCGCGGCCGUGCCCGGCUGCCUUCCUGCUGACGCCUCACCUUGUGUCCCCCGGCUCCCCCCCGCCCUCUGUCCCCCGCUGCCUCCCGGCCACCCCCCCCGUGUCCCCCGGCCCCCCCGCUGUCUGCCCCCCCGCUGUCCCCCCAUUGUCCCCCGGCCCCCUCCCCCUCCCCUCGCUGUCCCGGCUCGCCUCCCCGCCGUCCCCGUUGUACCGCCGGCCAUCCCCCCCAUCCCCCCCAUUGCCCGCGGAGCGUGGACGUGCGCUGAGCCAACAGGGAAGGAAGCUGGAGGAAGCAGCGGCUUCGGGCUGAGAACACGCACCAGCCCCCCCCCCCCCGCAGGAUGGGCGGUGUCCAGGCGACCCCUGGAACCUAGUGGGACCGUCAGGAAUCGGAAGAGCAAACUACACACGGGCAGGGGCGGGAAGCACCGACUGCAGCCGAAGUGGAGCGCGCCGGAGGCGGCGGAGAGACCCUGCAAAACCGGCAGCCAGUUGGUGGAAAGGCGGACAAAUGGCCAGACUUUGAGGGGAUUGACCAGGGGAAAGGGAGGGAAACUUUGGUGAUGUCAGGAAUGACUUAGAGAGAUAAAGAUGAUGAUGACGGAAUAAGGUGGACAACUGCGUACCAACAGAUGAGGUGACUUAAGUGAAAUGGAUAAAUUCCUGGAAAAACAAAAAUACAGAAAUUGAGGAAGAAACAAAACACGAGUAGGCCUCUAACAGGCAAAUAGAAGGAGCCUCACUUUCUCCAAAUAUUACUCCGAGGGGCCUUCCAGAGCACAAGUUCUUUGUCCCUGGUCCCCACCGAUGACCCUCCGGUGGUCUCUGGAAGCUUCCUUCCAGCCCUGAGUCCUCCCGCACGGCCAGGUGUUGAGGGAGGCCGUGGAGGGAGUGUGUGGCUGUUUUCCUCCGCUUGCCUGGGCAGCAGGUGUGCUGCCCUAAGACAAGUGCCGUUUUUCUGGAAUUCACACCGGGUAGCCGCGUGCCAAGAGUAUUUCCUAUUCACAGGAUUUUGAUCCUGACCUUAGAGCAACACAUUUUCCAUAUCAUGGUGAGGAGGGGCUGCUGGCUCUUCCCAACCCUAGUCUGCAGGAGAAGAGCCCCUUGCAAGCUCCACUUUAGCUCCCUGGUGGCAGUGCCACCUUCAUGGUUUUCUGAUUCCCGAAUCCUCUUCUGAUGAGAGGAGGUGACCCUUGAGCCCCUCACCAUCCUCAGGCCACUCCAGCUGUCAUGGGAACCUGCUUUUUCAGGCUCUGGCUGGUGCACCCUCUCCCAGUCUCACCCCAAACAGCCCCAGAAGUCUCAGGAGGUUCCAAAGAGUCUUCUGCACUCCUGCAGCUUGUGUCCCAGGGGGACCUCAGGAUUCACUCUUCCCCCUCGCUCCCUCCCAUGUGGUCUGCAGGCCUGGUGCCCUCCGUGGACUUCUCAGAGGCACCACGUGCAGCCCGUAUGGGCUGUCCUGGGAGCUCCUAGCGCCACAUGUGGACGUCUGCAGCCCCAACAGCCCAGUCUACCUUCUGUAGGCAUGUGGGGGAGGGGCUGGUGGCCUCCAGUCCACCAAGAACUGAAGCGGGUGCAGGGCAGUGGGGAGUGUGGCUCAGUCUGUGUCUGCUUUCAAGCCUGUUGAAGGAAGACUUCCCAUGUAGGCCCUUGUUGCUCCAGGAAGCUUGUCUCCCAGGCCUGGCCUCGCCCCUAGGAUGUGCGGGCCUCCUGGGGGGCGUGAGGCAGGCGUCCCAAGAGAGCCAGCCUGCAUUCUGGCUUCUCUGUUUCCAUCCUCCCCCCCCCCCCCCCCCCCCCCCACCGAGUGUCUUCACCGGGGUUUCUCCACCCUUGCCCUAAGCUCAGGCUUCCCGAUUCAUUAGCUGCCUCAGGGACCCGAGGGGCCACAGAGGGCGGUUUGCUGAGGACCAGCUCCACCCCCUGGGAUUUUCUGUUUUUCAGCCCCCUAUUGUCCAGAGCGGUCUGGUGUUUGCAGUUGUCCACGUCCCCCAAGCUCUUGGGGCAGGAGCAGGGGCUGCUCUCUACCUGCCUCACCCUUCCUGGGGAGGACCGGGAACAGGAUCGUGGCAGAAGGGGAACGGGCAUCCCCCACAAGGACCCUGGAUGGGGGCUCUGGGGGAUCCCGUGAUGGAGUCCUGUAUGGCAAGAAGGGAGCAGGGCUAGGAUGCUUAAGAACCCUGACUUUGUUGGUUUUGGAGUGGCCCGAGCUUACUUGCUGGGUGGGAGAGCCACCCUUGCAGGCAGUGGGUAGUUACCACGCACCUUUGGGCAAAUGUCUCAGCUUCUCUGGCCUGUGCUCCGGUCUUUGCUCAGGCAGUGCUGGCAGCUGAGGGGUGGGGGUGGGGGUGGGGGUGGGGGUGGGGGGCCUGCAGAGAGAGCCCCAGCCCCAGGGCGUCCCUAUGGAUGGCAGUGGUUGUUGAAGUGUCUGAGCUACAACCAGCAGUGUGUCACUUGCUGGGCAGGUUAGUGAGAUGAGGAGUCACAGCCGCCCCCAGAAGGGAGGCGGAGAGGUGCGUGCAGAUCCGGUGGGUUCCCUGGGAGCAUGUCCCCCAGGAGUGUCCCCCCUCCCCCGCCGAGAGCGUGCCAGAUGGGAGCUGCCAGGGUGCAGGGGCGAGCCGCCAGUAGGUGGGGGGGCAGGGCUGGCAUGUGGGCUCUAGGGACAGCAGGGUGGCCUAGCGGGCGCCGAGGAAGGGGGUGCAGGCAGAGAAGGGGGCGCCGGCAGGGCAGCCAGUGGUGGCACAGGCCGAGGAGAGUUCACAAGAAACCAGGCCAGGUGUGGCCAUGGGGGGAGUGGGAUGGGGCCUGAGCAGGGUUUGCAGAGGGAGUUGGGGUUAAUGGGCAGCGUGGGGGGGGGGGCGGGGGGGCAAGCACAGGUGAGCCUCACGGAUUCGUUUGUACCCAGGGGUAACCUUUAACAGCCUUUAGUGGGAUCUCUCUUUCUC
rnacentral:lncRNA from 1 species